CUUGACCGCUCCCAGCAACAGAGGUGCGGAGCGGUCCUGGCCGUAGACGUUCAGCAGCGCCUGCGCCUC
rnacentral:antisense_RNA from 1 species